rnacentral:rRNA from 1 species
UUGACCUCGGAUCAGGUAGGGACA